GACGAACGCUGGCGGCGUGCUUAACACAUGCAAGUCGAACGGUAAGGCCCUUCGGGGUACACGAGUGGCGAACGGGUGAGUAACACGUGGGUGAUCUGCCCUGCACUUCGGGAUAAGCCUGGGAAACUGGGUCUAAUACCGGAUGGGACUCCGGACUGCAUGGUCUGGGGUGGAAAGCUUUUGCGGUGUGGGAUGGGCCCGCGGCCUAUCAGCUUGUUGGUGGGGUGAUGGCCUACCAAGGCGACGACGGGUAGCCGGCCUGAGAGGGUGACCGGCCACACUGGGACUGAGAUACGGCCCAGACUCCUACGGGAGGCAGCAGUGGGGAAUAUUGCACAAUGGGCGCAAGCCUGAUGCAGCGACGCCGCGUGAGGGAUGACGGCCUUCGGGUUGUAAUCCUCUUUCAGCAUCGACGAAGCGAAAGUGACGGUAGGUGCAGAAGAAGGACCGGCCAACUACGUGCCAGCCGCCGCGGUAA
rnacentral:rRNA from 1 species